GAGUGCUGGGAUCACAGGUGUGCACCACCACGCCCGGCCAAGGGAGGAAACUGUGACACAUGCUACAGCAUGGAUGGAACUUGAGCACAGGAUGCUGGGUGACAUCAGCAGACACAAAAUGACGAACACCGCGCAGUUCUAUGCCCGGAGAGUUCCCAGAGCCAUGGGAUCCACAGAGACAGGAAGACCAGCGCUGUGUUCCGAUGUGCUUCCUGCCUCAGCCUGCGGAGGUGCCAGUGGCGCCGACCACUGUGUAACAUUUUGAGGUAGAAAGAGCUGAAUGAUAGCACCGGGCGCACAGAGGUGGCGGUGGUGGGAUGGAGCCCCGCGAGGUCCAGCUGAGAAAGCCGAAGCACGCCGAGCUCGUUCCCCUGCGCGGAAGGCACAGCGACAGAAAGCUGGCCAACACAAGGAAAAGUAGAGUGGCGUGGGAACAGGAUACUGGAGUGUCCCUGUGGCUCAGAGACUGAAGUGUCUGACGCCACCCCGAGUACCCUGCCCACCUGCUCGGCCUUCAGGGAAUUGGUGACACGAUGACAGCUGCCUCCCCUUGGCUGGUCCGAGGCCACCCAGCAGCCCUAGCCCUGGUCCCACUCGCCUCCAC